UACGGGAGGCAGCAGUGGGGAAUAUUGCACAAUGGGCGCAAGCCUGAUGCAGCCAUGCCGCGUGUAUGAAGAAGGCCUUCGGGUUGUAAAGUACUUUCAGUCGUGAGGAAGGUGUUAAGGUUAAUAACCUUAGCAAUUGACGUUAGCGACAGAAGAAGCACCGGCUAACUCCGUGCCAGCAGCCGCGGUAAUACGGAGGGUGCGAGCGUUAAUCGGAAUUACUGGGCGUAAAGGGCACGCAGGCGGUUAAUUAAGUUGGAUGUGAAAUCCCCGGGCUUAACCUGGGAAUGGCAUUCAAGACUGGUUAGCUAGAGUCUUGUAGAGGGGGUAGAAUUCCAUGUGUAGCGGUGAAAUGCGUAGAGAUGUGGAGGAAUACCGGUGGCGAAAGGCGGCCCCUGGGACAAAGGACUGACGCUCAUGUGCGAAAGCGUGGGGAGCAAACAGGGAUUAGAUACC
rnacentral:rRNA from 1 species